UCUCCCCCAUUUCCUCUUCGUAUUCCCCAUAGAGGCAGCCAUUUAUGGCUGCUUUGACUCCUCCCAUUUAUUAACCGAAGCCUCCUCAGCUCUCAAGUCUCAAAUAUGUGCGAGUCCACGGCAGCAUUGGCAAGCAGCACAUCCUACUCCUCCGCCGGAUGAACGCGGACAUCGACCCGGCAUUAGGUGAGCGCUUCCGUGUCCUCGACUUCCAUGCGUACGGCGAGCCCUACCCGGCGUUCCUUGCCGCGGCAGCGACCGCGCUGGAGCCCCCAUGAUAUGCAAUGUUCGUAGGCCGCGGCUUCGUCGUACGCGUCGACGCUUCAUUCCUUGAUGAUGUUGUCCUUCAUUGCGAUGCCUCUUCAGCACGGGCACCGGUUUGACCUCUCGGAGUGUGAGGCCGCAGCAUCUCCGUCGCGAACUCUGGGGAGGUCUACUCCACCGAUUUUUUCUCGUUGCUGACCAUGCCAGAGGCACUUCUCGACGUGCUCCGCGGUGUGUCGGUGGCGGGAUGUUUUGGCUUGGGUCCUGGCCGGUGCAUGAGGAUUACCUUCUCGGAUCCAAGGUUAUCCCACCUCCCUGCAAGGUGUUUGAUUAUUUGCCCAGGUUACCCCAUCUCCUGCACUGAAUGUGUUUGAGGAUUUGCCUCUUCCGAAGAUUUGUCGGCUCUGAAGAACAUAUAGUUGAACCUUAUUUCGUUGUGCAAGUAGAUAAUUGUGGCACAAUACAAAAAUCAGAUAUGAGAUUUUUCAGUUGCAUACAAAGGGAACAAACAAGUGGAUCAUAAUUUGCUUCUUGCAGAAACUGCCAGAUAAAGUGUAUCAACCAAGCUGAAGGAUGCCACAAUUUGACUCUUAUUUCACUCCAUCCUUUCGAUUUGGAGAUGUGCUACAUUACAAGUACCAUUUUGUAGAAUUGUAGCCUUUUAUUUCAUCAUUAUAUUGAUCAUAUUUAUCGAC